UCAUUAAGGAGACAAAUGCAAUGCUGAAGUCCACAUCGCCGUUGCCUCACUCACUUAGUGCAGAGUGGAAGGAGAUUCAGGGCAACAAAGUUUUUGUAAUUCUUCGCCAAAACACACAAAGUAGGUUUGUCCUAAAUGAGGAGACCAGGGGCGCGGGAAGUAGGGGUGCUGGAGGUGCUGCAGCACCCCCUGUUAGCAAACUGCGAUGACAAUAAAAUGAUAGCUUAUAAAUAUCUCUGGUUGUUGUUUCUGUUCCACGACAUUUUGUAUGUCAUGUUUGGGGUGUGGGAUGAAGAGAGGGAUAAUUUUACAACUAUUUAAAGUAAU